rnacentral:rasiRNA from 1 species
UUGACAAUGAAACGACAAUUCCAG